rnacentral:rRNA from 1 species
AAUUACCCAAUCCUGACACAGGGAGGUAGUGACAAGAAAUAACAAUACAGGGCUUAAAGUCUUGUAAUUGGAAUGAUGGGAAUCUAAACCCUUCCCAGAGUAUCAAUUGGAGGGCAAGUCUGGUGCCAGCAGCCGCGGUAAUUCCAGCUCCAAUAGCGUAUAUUAAAGUUGUUGCAGUUAAGAAGCUCGUAGUUGAAUUUCAGCCUUGUCAUUAAUCUCGCUUCCGAGCGUUUUUUUAUUGACUUGGCAUCUUCUGGAUUUGGUGCCUUCGGGUACUAUUUUCCAGGAUUUACUUUGAGAAAACUAGAGUGUUUCAAACAGGCAUUCGCCUUGAAUACUACAGCAUGGAAUAAUGAAGUAGGACUUUGGUUCUAUUUUGUUGGUUAUUGAGCCAGAGUAAUGGUUAAUAGGAGCAGUUGGGGGCAUUCGUAUUUAA